rnacentral:rRNA from 1 species
UUGUCUCAAAGAUUAAGCCAUGCAUGUCUCAGUACAAGCCGAAUUAAGGUGAAACCGCGAAAGGCUCAUUAAAUCAGUUAUGGUUCCUUAGAUCGUACCCACAUUUACUUGGAUAACUGUGGUAAUUCUAGAGCUAAUACAUGCAAACAGAGCUCCGACCGGAGACGGAAGGAGCGCUUUUAUUAGAUCAAAACCAAUCGGCGGCGGGUUCGUCGGCCUCGCGUCGGCGGCUCGUCGUCGUAUAAUUAAUUGGUGAAUCUGAAUAACUUUCUGCUGAUCGCACGGUCUCGCACCGGCGACGCAUCUUUCAAAUGUCUGCCUUAUCAACUGUCGAUGGUAGGUUCUGCGCCUACCAUGGUCGUAACGGGUAACGGGGAAUCAGGGUUCGAUUCCGGAGAGGGAGCCUGAGAAACGGCUACCACAUCCAAGGAAGGCAGCAGGCGCGCAAAUUACCCACUCCCGGCACGGGGAGGUAGUGACGAAAAAUAACGAUACGGGACUCAUCCGAGGCCCCGUAAUCGGAAUGAGUACAAUCUAAACCCUUUAACGAGGAUCAAUUGGAGGGCAAGUCUGGUGCCAGCAGCCGCGGUAAUUCCAGCUCCAAUAGCGUAUAUUAAAGUUGUUGCGGUUAAAAAGCUCGUAGUCGAAUUUGUGUCCCGCGCCGCCGGUUCAUCGCACGCGGUGUCUAACUGGCGUGUCCGCGGGACGUCCUGCCGGUGGGCUUCGUCGUCGGUGGGCGUUGUCGUUCGUCGGCGCGCGUUCUUCGCGCCGCGCGUCGUUCGUCGGCGCGCUCUCCGUCGGCAGCCCAACUUUUUUGAAUCCCACCGCGGUGCUCUUCGCUGAGUGUCGAGGUGGGCCGGCACGUUUACUUUGAACAAAUUAGAGUGCUUAAAGCAGGCUAAAAUUUCGCCUGAAUACCGUGUGCAUGGAAUAAUGGAAUAGGACCUCGGUUCUAUUUUGUUGGUUUUCGGAACCCCGAGGUAAUGAUUAAUAGGAACGGAUGGGGGCAUUCGUAUUGCGACGUUAGAGGUGAAAUUCUUGGAUCGUCGCAAGACGAACGGAAGCGAAAGCAUUUGCCAAAAACGUUUUCAUUGAUCAAGAACGAAAGUUAGAGGUUCGAAGGCGAUCAGAUACCGCCCUAGUUCUAACCAUAAACGAUGCCAGCUAGCGAUCCGCCGACGUUCCUUCGAUGACUCGGCGGGCAGCUUCCGGGAAACCAAAGCUUUCGGGUUCCGGGGGAAGUAUGGUUGCAAAGCUGAAACUUAAAGGAAUUGACGGAAGGGCACCACCAGGAGUGGAGCCUGCGGCUUAAUUUGACUCAACACGGGAAACCUCACCAGGCCCGGACACCGGAAGGAUUGACAGAUUGAGAGCUCUUUCUUGAUUCGGUGGGUGGUGGUGCAUGGCCGUUCUUAGUUGGUGGAGCGAUUUGUCUGGUUAAUUCCGAUAACGAACGAGACUCUAGCCUGCUAAAUAGGCGUAUUUCCGACAUCUCAAAGGCCCGCCGGCCCGGCG